CUCUCUCUCUCUCUCUCUCUCGUCCUUUCCUUCACUUUCUCUCUUCUUCCUCCUUCUCCCUCUUCUUCUUCCUUCUUCCUUCUUCCUACAUAUGCAAUUUGUAUUCUUUCCUGACACGGUUUGUUCUGUUGAGCGCUGAGGACGAUGAUGAACACGAUGAUGGUGAUGUUGAUGUUGUUGGGUUCGUGAUGAACGAUGUUGAACGAUUUUAGAUGAAUGAGUUGAGUUGGUUGAAGAUCUAUGAAGAUGAUGACGAAAGCUACGAAUCUGAAUCUCGGAUCCGACCCUUCCACGGGAUUAGGGUUUCAGGAGAUCUCGGUCGCAAGUUCUUUUCCAAGCUAGGAUGACUGGAUGACAUCUCCAAUACUUCUUCCCUAUAAAUGCUCAUCUUUCGCGGCUCAACCUGAAGAUUUUGACAAGAGCAAAAACUAGCUGUUUCAAUAUUCUGUGCGAGGUUUCUCACUAUCGAGUAUAUGGAUUUGGUCGAGCAGAUUGUUCCCUACUUCAUGACCAUUAUAUGAUUAGUGAAAACUGCAUUAAGAAUUUUGGCCCCUUCAAGCUCUAAAGAAAAUAUCUCAGGAGCACCCAGCUGCCUGCCUAAGAGUUGGUGCUCUCAUGGCUGUACUCUCUUAUUUGGACUUCUUCUCAACUAGAGUUCAGGGAGAUACCUGGCUGUUUGAUAAUCCGAGGAGAAGAAGGGCUAUAUGUAAUUAUAAUGCAUACUGAACAACCCUCAAUUGAAGAUAGAAAUAAAACACGGGCUACUGGUUUUGAGGGUCAUGGAAAUUCUCAACAUUUAUCUCUACUUGGUCUGAUUUUGGUGUAAAGGUUUAGGAAGUGAUUGCAGUUGUUGUUGCUUUAUUAAUUAUAGUGAUUAUGUAUAUGAACAUGAGAGAUUUGUGCAGACUUAUAUCAAAAGCUUGGCAGAUAGCUGCUACACGAUAUGUGGAUCCCAAGUUGGUACGAAUAAGUGAAUCUACAUCGUUGAAGAACUCAAACAAGGAUGAUGUCGUGGAAUAAA